GAUGAACGCUAGCGGCAGGCCUAACACAUGCAAGUCGAGGGAGAGGUUAUCUUCGGGUAACCAAAACCGGCGCACGGGUGCGUAACGCGUAUACAAUCUGCCUUUCACAUAGGGAUAGCCCGAAGAAAUUUGGAUUAAUACCUAAUGGUAUAUAAGAGCGGCAUCGUUUUUAUAUUAAAGCUACGGUGGUGAAAGAUGAGUAUGCGUUCUAUUAGCUAGUUGGAGAGGUAACGGCUCCCCAAGGCGACGAUAGAUAGGGGUUCUGAGAGGGAUGUCCCCCACACUGGUACUGAGAUACGGACCAGACUCCUACGGGAGGCAGCAGUGAGGAAUAUUGGACAAUGGUCGGAAGACUGAUCCAGCCAUGCCGCGUGCAGGAUGAAGGUCCUAUGGAUUGUAAACUGCUUUUGUAAGGGAAGAAUAAGGAGUACGUGUACUUUGAUGACGGUACCUUACGAAUAAGCAUCAGCUAACUCCGUGCCAGCAGCCGCGGUAAUACGGAGGAUGCGAGCGUUAUCCGGAAUCAUUGGGUUUAAAGGGUCCGUAGGCGGGCUGAUAAGUCAGAGGUGAAAGCGCUUAGCUCAACUAAGCAACUGCCUUUGAAACUGUCAGUCUUGAAUGAUUGUGAAGUAGUUGGAAUGUGUAGUGUAGCGGUGAAAUGCUUAGAUAUUACACAGAACACCGAUAGCGAAGGCAUAUUACUAACAAUUUAUUGACGCUGAUGGACGAAAGCGUGGGGAGCGAACAGG
rnacentral:rRNA from 1 species